UCGAACCGAAGAAAACAAACGAAGAAGAGAAAGAGGUGGUGAAACAGUUCACCACAUCGACCAAAGCAGCUGCCUUAUGAUAAGGAGAGCCAUGAGCGAGGGCGUUAAAAAGCAGUGAUUGAAACGAUCUCUUUCUCCGCACGUCACUAUACUCCCAUCGAGUAGAGGAUCGCUCAUGUCGCAAAGAGGAAACUUGAAAAGCCAUGCACCCAGAUCUGGACGAGGCUGGUCGCAACCCUCACCCAGUAGGCCAUUGCCAGCCACAAAUUUUUUUUUUUAAAAAAAAGGAGAAAAGGAAAUUAAUAAAAUUAAUUAAAAAUUCUAAAAAAUAUUAAAAUAUUAUUAACGUCAGUGUCGAUCAUGUCACGUUUCCAACCAAAAUUGACUGGAUUCAAUUGACAAAAAAUGGAAAAGUUUAAGACUCAAUUGGCAUAGAUACAUUAGGUUUACGAUUUGUUAGACAAUUUUCCCUACAAUCUAGAAGACCCAAAUCUGUAGGCAAGAAAAAACUCAAUGGAAAUCGUUAUGAAAGAUCUAACACCGCCCAAAAUCAUUAAAUGAUUCAUGCAGCGAAAUAUCGGGGCAACUUUAAGAAAAACACCACGAUAUAUAGAACUUUCUGCAUGUUCUCGCGUCAUGCCUUGGGAAAUCCAUGUCCCUCUCCAUUAUCGAAAGCUCAAAGCACCAAAAAGAAAAAUCACUUACAUCCUCCCUUCACCGCCACUUUACUGUGAGUUGAAAUAGCCGAGGCACCUGGAAGAAACAAGAAGAUUAUAAUCUAGAGCAAGCAAAAAAUUGUGAUCAAUAACUAAUAAAAGAUAAAUAACAUAAAUGAUCUCUGAACUUUAUAAUCCAAUAUACAAUGUCAUCCAUGAAUUAUUCAACUUCAUCCCGAACUUUAGUUCGAUAUUCAAUAAAACAAAAUUGUCCAAGUGAUGAUAAGAAAAACAGCAAGAUAUAUAAAAUUUUCUCUACGUUCUCACGUCAUGCUAUGUCAGCUAUGGUUUCACGGAAUCAUGAUGCUCAAUUUAUGUCCUUCUCCAUUAUUAGAAGCUUGAAGCACCAAAUAUAUAAAUAUCACUUACGGCCAUAGGCUCCCGGAAGGAACAGGGAAGCUAUAACCAAGAGCAAGCAGAAAAUGGCGGUGAUAAGAGAAGAUGAUGAUGUUGAGGAAGGGAAGUGCAUUUUUGCUAUGUGUGUGUGUGUGUGUGUGUGUGUGUGUGUGUGUGUAUUUAUAAUCCCCGACCUGCAAAU
rnacentral:lncRNA from 1 species